rnacentral:rRNA from 1 species
GAUGAACGCUGGCGGCGUGCCUAAUACAUGCAAGUCGAGCGAACAGAUGAGGAGCUUGCUCCUCUGACGUUAGCGGCGGACGGGUGAGUAACACGUGGAUAACCUACCUAUAAGACUGGUAUAACUUCGGGAAACCGGAUCUAAUACCGGAUAAUAUAUUGAACCGCAUGGUUCAAUAGUGAAAGACGGUUUUGCUGUCACUUAUAGAUGGAUCAGCGCCGCAUUAGCUAGUUGGUAAGGUAACGGCUUACCAAGGCAACGAGGCGUAGCCGACCUGGUAGGGUGAUCGGCCACACUGGAACGGCGACACGGUCCAGACUCCUACGGGAGGCAGCAGUAGGGAAUCGUACGCAAUGGGCGAAAGCCUGACGGAGCAAGCCCGCGUGAGUGAUGAAGGUGUCCGGAUCGUAAAACCCUGUUAUUAGGGAAGAACAAAUGUGUAAGUAAAUAUGCACGACUUGACGGUACCUACUGAGAAAGCCACGGCUAACUACGUG